rnacentral:rRNA from 1 species
AUUGAACGCUGGCGGCAGGCCUAACACAUGCAAGUCGAGCGGUGGAAGGUAGCUUGCGCCUGGAUUUAGCGGCGGACGGGUGAGUAAUUCCUAGGAAUCUGCCCUGCAGUGGGGGAUAACGUCCGGAAACGGGCGCUAAUAUCGCAUACGACCUGAGGGUGAAAGAGGGGGAUCUUGGGAGAUCACGGCAUUAGAUGAGCCUAGGUCGGAUUAGCUAGUUGGUGGGGUAAAGGCCUACCAAGGGGACGAUCCGUAACUGGUCUGAGAGGAUGAUCAGUCACACUGGACCUGGGCCACGGUCCAGACUCCUACGGGAGGCACCAGUGGGGAAUAUUGGACAAUGGGCGAAAGCCUGCUCCAGCCCUGCCGCGUGUGUGAGGAAGGUCUUCGGAUUGUAAAGCCCUUUAAGUUGGGAGGAAGGGCAGUAAGUUAAUACCUUGCUGUUUUGACGUUACCAACAGAGUAAGCACCGGCUAACUUCGUG